GAUCUUAAAGGGGUCAUGUAUAUAAAAAUAUCCUGUAAGUUUCAGAACUCAAAGCUUCCUCAUUAGUCAAAAAAAGCUUUAACUGAAACUAAACUCAGAACUUUCGAAUUUUGUCACAUUAUCACAUUAUUGUCAUAGUGCCGUGUAUGUCAUGUAGUAGUAAAUAUGUGAGACGCAAGUACAGGAUUACUCAAGCAACAAUGCAGUGACAACUAAACCCCACAGUAAUAUCGAAGUAAGGAGAUGAUGUUCCUCAGCAGUCAACACUCUCAGAUAAAGCUUAUUGAGACUCAAUGAUCUUAGAUGUGGAGGGAGAGACAAGCUGGAGACAGAAGUCACUCACACACAGACUUGGAAACGGG